rnacentral:rRNA from 1 species
AUUGAACGCUGGCGGCAUGCCUUACACAUGCAAGUCGAACGGCAGCACGGGUGCUUGCACCUGGUGGCGAGUGGCGAACGGGUGAGUAAUACAUCGGAACAUGUCCUGUAGUGGGGGAUAGCCCGGCGAAAGCCGGAUUAAUACCGCAUACGAUCUACGGAUGAAAGCGGGGGACCUUCGGGCCUCGCGCUAUAGGGUUGGCCGAUGGCUGAUUAGCUAGUUGGUGGGGUAAAGGCCUACCAAGGCGACGAUCAGUAGCUGGUCUGAGAGGACGACCAGCCACACUGGGACUGAGACACGGCCCAGACUCCUACGGGAGGCAGCAGUGGGGAAUUUUGGACAAUGGGCGAAAGCCUGAUCCAGCAAUGCCGCGUGUGUGAAGAAGGCCUUCGGGUUGUAAAGCACUUUUGUCCGGAAAGAAAUCCUUGGCCCUAAUACGGUCGGGGGAUGACGGUACCGGAAGAAUGGGCACCGGCUAACUACGUG